GACGAACGCUGGCGGCGUGCUUAACACAUGCAAGUCGAACGGAAAGGCCCUGCUUUGGGGGGGUGCUCGAGGGGCGAACGGGUGAGUAACACGUGAGUAACCUGCCCUGGACGUUGGGAUAACUUCAGGAAACUGGGGCUAAUACCGGAUAGGAGGUCGUGCUGCAUGGUGGGGGUUGGAAAGUGUCGGCGGGUGGGGAUGGACUCGCGGCGUAUGAGGGUGUGGGAGGGGUAGUGGCUUACCAAGGCUUGGACGGGUAGCCGGCCUGGGAGGGUGACCAGCGCCCAUACUCCUGCGGUACGGCCCAGUGUCCUACGGGAGGCAGCAGUGGGAAACCUUACCCAAUGGGCGGAAGCCUGAUGAGGAAACGCCGCGUGCGGGAUGACGGCUUUCGGGUUGUAAACCGCUUUCGCUUGUGACGAGGCGUGAGUGACGGUAAUGGGUAAAGAAGCACCGGCUAACUACGUG
rnacentral:rRNA from 1 species